rnacentral:lncRNA from 1 species
GUUUGUAGUCUCUCAGGAUAUUUUAGAAUUAUACAUCAUAUUUAUGAAUUGUGAUGUGUACUAGCACAUAAUGGUAGAUUGCAGCAUCUUUGUUAGUUGUUGCUCACACAGGGCUCCCUCAGAGACCUAUGGGAACCAGGUACAAGCUCUCAGGAAUGAGUUAACUUGGAUUGAACUCGUUCAUGCUUAAGAAAGAAGAUGGACUGUGGUGUCUACAGCUGCUUCACUGCACUGCAGACAGGCAAUGGAUUUUUUUCAGAGAAUCAAACUAGUGCCUGCUUCCUCCCCAUAAAAAUAUAUAUUAAAUGUCUUCUUGUGCGGUCCAAGUACUCUGCUUCUCUGAGGAAUCUUAGUCUUUCACUGCGUGGUUUAUCCCUUUUCCCUGAUCCUGGAAAGAGGCCAUGAUCCUUGCUCAGACGACUCACAGGAUGUAUCAUUUCCAGACUGGCUACAAAGCAAGUCUGGCCCACCACUGGUAAGUGCACAUCCAGUGCACAGCAUAUGAUUUCUGCUUUCUGAGACUCAGCUAUAAUGGAUAUCAAGUCCCA